CUGUCUCUGCAGGGUGUCAUGCAUACCCUUUACAGGACUCCAAGGGGGCUGGAUUCAUGUGGUGGAGAACCAGAUGUGUUUGGAUGGCUUUCAGGGCUCCCCUCAAGACCACAGGCCAUCAAACUUUAACAUCAUAGCAGAGAGCCCUGCUCAUAUCUCUAGUUCAGUGGGUAAUCACUGAGAAUCAAAGGUGGGCCUGGCUUCCCUUCCUUUCAGACAGACUUCCAUCAGUCUAGAGCCACCAUCAUCUAACCAAAACAGAUGGAGAUUGUUCAUGCUGUAUCAUCCUCGUCACUUUUGAUGACAAGAAGAAGAGUUCAGAAGGAAGUGGCAAAAGUUGGGACUGUGAAACAAAUUUACAAAUUGAGGUCGCAUGGUCCAGUGGAAUGUUUUUUCAGACAUAUGACUUCACUGCAUGUCUGAAAGCAUCCUGAAAACAUCUAGAACUUUAAAAUGCUUGAAAACAUGUUAGACUUCCUGUACUUGGAGCUAAAUUGUAAUUACGGUUUAAUGUCUUCCCAAACCCAGACACUCUCUGAAACAUUGAAAGUCUUCUACAAAGUUUUGCAGUUCAUUGUUGUUAUGACAUGAGGGACCUUCUCUUGGGUGUUAGGGCUACAGCUAUGGUUACAGCUGGAACUUUAGCACAACAUAUAACUUUGUUUUAAUAUCUUCUUUUUCUUAGGUUU